AAAACCCCCACCCACCCGGCAUCCUCCAUUCUUUCUCCAGUGAAAAGUGUACUAAGCCAUGGAGAUGUGGGGAUCAUUUGUUACAGAAGAUAGUCGACCCUGAUUAAUAUAGUGUUUGUCCCGAUAACAGGACAGUCUGACUUAUCAGCAUAGAAAAUAUUUCUGUCAGCAUUCGGAGAACAUGGGGGUGUCCUAUGGCCAAUCACAUUUGGAAAAACUACCCAUUUAUGCCCGUUAUUGGAGAUUCAUAAGACUUUGUAGUUUUUCCAAGCCCGGACUUUCAUAUUUAAGUAAAUAGGCAUUUCAUGAGAAACAUGAAACAGAACCCUGUACCUCGGGAGUUCUUAAUGUAAAAACAAAACAGCAUCAACAACACAAGGUAAGAGAACAUCAACAAAUAUGUAACAGGUACCUUUGCUAAAGUAAACUAGAACUGUAUAAACAGGGAUUGUGUAAGGCAUGCAUUUCUGCAAACAAAGAAAUUUGGUGCCAGGUUUCCAAGUCAUCAUCCUGUACCACUAUUAUUAGCUCCUUCCAUUUGAAUAGCAAAAGUUCUUUUAUUCACAAAUAUUAAAAAUUAUGCCUUAUUCUUCCCCAUCCCCUUGGUCACAAAUGCAAUGAUUCAUUUUUUA